UACGUAGGUCGCAAGCGUUGUCCGGAUUUACUGGGCGUAAAGAGCGCGCAGGCGGCUGGUCAAGUCCGAUGUGAAAUCUCCCGGCUCAACUGGGAAACUGCAUCGGAAACUGAUCGGCUUGAAGAUGGGAGAGGGUAGUGGAAUUCCCGGUGUAGUGGUGAAAUGCGUAGAUAUCGGGAGGAACACCAAGUGGCGAAGGC
rnacentral:rRNA from 1 species